AAAAGUCUGACUCUGUUUCACUAUUGCAUUCUGCAACAUUUGCAUCUUGCGGAGUCUUCCCUUUUUUCUUCAAUUUUGGACAAUCUUUCUUCCAAUGUCCUUUUUCUUUGCAAAAGGAACAUUCAUCUUUGGCAACAGCUCGACCUUUGGACUUUCUUCUCUUCCCCUUAGACUGACUUUGCUGACGACCUCUUGUUACCAAUGCU
rnacentral:lncRNA from 1 species